GUCACUGACGUGGUCUUCCUGUCUGGGUUGGCGCCCCCCCUUGGGUUGUGCCGUGGCGGAGAUCUUUGUGGGCUAUACUCGGCCUUGUCUCAGGAUGGACCUGAGCCCUAGGACCAUGCCUCAGGACUACCUGACAUGACUCCUUGCUGUCCCCAGUCCACCUGGCUGUGCUGCUGCUCCAGUUUCAACUGUUCUGCCUGCGGCUAUGGAACCCUGACCUGUUCACCGGACGUGCUACCUGUCCCAGACCUGCUGUUUUCAACUCUAGAGACAGCAGGAGCAGUAGAGAUACUCUCAAUGAUCGGUUAUGAAAAGCCAACUGACAUUUACUCUUGAGGUGCUGACUUGUUGCACCCUCGACAACUGUGAUUAUUAUUAUUUGACCAUGCUGGUCAUUUAUGAACAUUGGAACAUCUUGGCCAUGUUCUGUUAUAAUCUCCACCCGUCACAGCCAGAAGAGGACUGGCCACCCCUCAUAGCCUGGUUCCUCUCUAGGUUUCUUCCUAGGUUUUGGCCUUUCUAGGGAGUUUUUCCUAGCCACCGUGCUUCUACACCUGCAUUGCUUGCUGUUUGGGGUUUUAGGCUGGGUUUCUGUACAGCACUUUGAUAUAUCAGCUGAUGUAAGAAGGGCUAUAUAAAUACAUUUGAUUUGAUAUGCAUAAUCACUUUAACUCUACCUACAUGUACAUAUUACCCUGACUAACAUGUACCCCACACAUUGACUCUGUACCGGUACCCCCUGUAUAUAGCCUCGCUAUUGUUAUUUUACUGCUGCUCUUUAUUUGUCAUUUGUAUUUUUUGCUUAAGUAAGCAUGUCACUAAGGUCUACUACACCGGUUGUAUUCGGCACAUGUAACAAAUAAAAUGUUGAUUUGACUGUGCAUAUUCUGUUUGAUUGCCACCUAGUGGGCAUUAGGCAGUAGUACCUUGGACAGCUCCUCAAUACCCAUACAGUAAUUAACUAUUUUCUUGUUGCCAAGAAAGCACUUUCAAAUGAGAUUUUAGGCUCCAAACUGUCCCUCAG
rnacentral:lncRNA from 1 species